AGCAGCCGCGGUAAUUCCAGCUCCAAUAGCGUAUAUUAAAGUUGUUGCAGUUAAAAAGCUCGUAGUUGAAUUUCGGGAUCAGUUGGUCGGUCGUGCCUCGGUACGUACUGGUCAAAUUGAUUCCUACCUUCUGACGAACCACGAUGUCAUUAAUUUGGUGUCGCGGGAAAUCAGGACUGUUACUUUGAAAAAUUAGAGUGUUUAAAGCAGGCUCGCGCUUGAAUACAUUAGCAUGGAAUAAUGAAAUAGGACGUUUGAUUCUAUUUUGUUGGUUUCUAGGAUCGACGUAAUGAUUAAUAGGGAUAGUUGGGGGCAUUAGUAUUCAAUUGUCAGAGGUGAAAUUCCUGGAUUUAUUGAAGACUAACUACUGCGAAAGCAUUUGCCAAGGAUGUUUUCAUUAAUCAAGAACGAAAGUUAGGGGAUCGAAGACGAUCAGAUACCGUCGUAGUCUUAACCAUAAACUAUGACCGACUAGGGAUCGGAUGAUGUUAAUUUUUAA
rnacentral:rRNA from 1 species